AGCAGCCGCGGUAAUUCCAGCUCCAAUAGCGUAUAUUAAAGUUGCUGCAGUUAAAAAGCUCGUAGUUGAAUUUCGGGACCAAUAUGUCGGUCGUGCUUCGGUACGUACUGUCAUAAUUGGUUUCUCCUUUCUGAAGAACCUUGAUGUCAUUAAUUUGGUGUCUUGGGGAAUCAGGACUGUUACUUUGAAAAAUUAGAGUGUUUAAAGCAGGCUCGCGCUUGAAUACAUUAGCAUGGAAUAAUGAAAUAGGACGUUUGAUUCUAUUUUGUUGGUUUCUAGGAUCGACGUAAUGAUUAAUAGGGAUAGUUGGGGGCAUUAGUAUUCAAUUGUCAGAGGUGAAAUUCUUGGAUUUAUUGAAGACUAACUACUGCGAAAGCAUUUGCCAAGGAUGUUUUCAUUAAUACAAGAACGAAAGUUAGGGGAUCGAAGACGAUCAGAUACCGUCGUAGUCUUAACCAUAAACUAUAGCCGACUAGGGA
rnacentral:rRNA from 1 species